GCCUGGCUGGCUCAGUCAGUAGAGCAUGUAACUCUUGAUCUCGGGGUUGUGAGUUUAAGCCCCACGUUGGGUG
rfam:Ailuropoda melanoleuca scaffold1236_5, whole genome shotgun sequence.